GGAAAAAACGGAGCUGCGUCCAUUCACUCUUGACUCGCACAAGCAUUGCUGGUUGCUCACUGAGCAGCAACUUCACUCAUGGUUGGAUGAAAGACAAGAAGGGGAAAAAGAAGGGGAAAACUUUCAGUCAAUUAAAUUAAAAAACAUGAACUUAUGAAGAAAAUGGAGGAUGCAGAGGUUAAGCCAAGUGGUAUGAUAGAUCAAGCUUUUCUCCCUAUUAUUGACUCAGCGGGAGUCUCUGCUUCUGUUGCUUCUACAGAUCCUUCAUCUACCGUUUGUAGAGCUGCCUCACAAGACAAAGAGAAAGACGAGGAAGCUUUCAUGGACCU
rnacentral:misc_RNA from 1 species